GGGCCUUGCCGGCGUUUCCAUUCACUCACCGCGCUCGUGCUCCUACGUGCCUGUCCGCUCUCCCUCUCUCCCUCCCUCGCGCGCCUAAGGCCAACGAGCGACAAACUACGCGACGCCCGCGCCGACGUCGAAGGAGGCAGGUCCGCAGGUGGGCUACGGCGAGGAGCGGUGGGGUGGGAUAUAUUACGGCGCGUGCAGUCGCCGGUGGCGCCCGGGGCGGUGACGGUGGAGAAGGCCAUGGACGAGGGAGGCCCAGGCGGAGGCGCGUGGUCCCUCUAGGCGGCGGCGGCGGAGGAGGAGGGCCGAGGGAGCGCGGUACCGGCGGUGGCCUCGGCUACGGCGGCGGCGAGGGGGCAGGGACGAGCAGAAAAGUCCACCUUGUCGUAAAUUACCGCAGCAUCUUCUCAACUUCUUUCACUGAUGGGCCCAACGCGUACAGGAUGGUCAAAGACUACUACCACCUUCGUGUCGACUCUAACAAGCACAAGAACCACCUGGACGACACCCACUGUAUUCUAGUUCUACGAACUCUGACAGGCUACUUUCGUGAAACCUUCGUGAGAGGCAGGCCUCUAACGAACCCGUGGCAAACGGAGAACUAGGAAGUCUUCGUUUCGACCUCACCAUGGUAUAACACCUUCCUCUUGUGAGAAAUACCCUACCACAGAGAGCAGGGAUGUCCCUUUGUUAGGCACGUAAAAACCAGAUGAAGGUAUUACUCUAGGAAGCCGCUGGUCAACUUUGUAAAAGGAAGUGGUUACCGUCGUAACCCUUAAAGAAAAAACGACCGCGUGCGUAUAAGAAGGUCAGAAACCUACGACGCUAGAAAAACAAAAGUGCACACAGUGUUUAGGGACGCCUUUCAGAACACGAAGGUCAUUAUAGGUGUUUACUGUCCGAAUGAGACCCCACACUUAAUACCCUACCUUGAUAAUAGGCUCCGGUUUUACUUUAUAGUGUAGGUUCGUUACCGGCAUCUCUUCAUCAACUGUUCUUGACAUUAAGUACGUGGCGUGAAGGAAGUUCGUAGUUCGCGCAGAAGAUGUACAGUUCACUUCCAACGUUGGAUAACGUACUCCACAAAGGACUUCGAUUGGUAUGUCAAAACCUCGUCGAUUCAUUCCACCUAACGUAACAUAUACGCUACCCCAGCGAUAAAUGUAGUCAAACAGGUAGUGACCAUGACGCACCGUAACCACUCUGAUAUCGUAGUUCCAGGUAAGGGUUCCAUGAAGAAAAUUUACCUAGUGUACUAUCUCUUUGAUAACCCGACAGACGAAGACCGAAACACUGACGUUAAUGCCUAAGAGAUUUAGCCUGUAUACCACUAGGACUGUUUUCAGAUUUCAUAGUAGGGUUUCUGAUACAAUUACGGUAUAACCAAGGACUUCCUCCGGUUUAAGGAAAUCUACAACUUUUAAACCGUAGAUUUCCUUAAAAAGUACACAAUUGGCACUUUAGACAUGCGCUGUGCUUCCACCCACAGUAUAAACUAGGCGUCAGAAAUUAGGUUCGAGACUGGCCAGACUAUAGGCUCGUGUACCUACGUACGGAGCGCCUUGGACUGGGAGAUUGACUUUUGCACUGCAGACAUACGACUUAGAGACUUCCUACGUGAAAGUCCAUGUAUCAUACGGUCAGGAUAAGAAUAGUACAAUCACCAGGAUGAAGUCUAUCACGACGUCCAAACGUGGUUUUACUGUGCCAACUUUCCUUUUGGAUUUUACAUAUUGUCAUCCAAAAUCAGAGGGAGAGCUUUCUUGACAGUAAGUAAAGUCAAGACCACUUAUCGCUACGAAGGUCUGCUAAGGUCACGGACGAAGCCAACGGUCAAGAUGAAGGAUAAACCGUGAUGACACCCUUUCGGUUAUCCCGUUCGACUAAUUUUGUAGAUUUAUACACUGUGAAUGCUGUCAGAGUCACGUAAACAUAGAUUAAUUCAAUAUCGAUCCAUGACAUAUUGACAGGAUCACCGAACAUAGAAACACAACAUAGAUUUUAACAACUUAACUCGUACAGCAAAUACUAGAUGAACCGUAAAAUUGG
rnacentral:rRNA from 1 species